rnacentral:siRNA from 1 species
GUACCAGGAAUGCCAGCGGAUGC